AUAAAUAUUGCUUGUUGUUAAUGCUUAAAAAUUUCGUAAAUGUGAGCUUAACUCAAUUGGUAAGGACAAUUCAUAAUAUAUACAAGAUCGGGAUUCAAACCCCGAACACGACACAAAAAAAAUGCUUAAAAAUUUCAUGAGCUUUAAACUACAUGUUAGACUCUUAAAGCUUUUCCAUCCACUUCAUGACCUCCUCAGUAGGAACAAUUACUUGGAUAAUAAGUAAUGAUUUAAAGCAAGUUUAAGGACAAAUCUAUAUAUUAAUAAAGGAAUACAAUGCUGCAAGUUUGCCCUAGAAUUCACUAUGCAAGAAAUACCAUUUUGUACUGAUGGCAUUGAAGCGGGAAAACCCCAAGUUUUUCAAUUUGGUCUGCCAAUUACCGUUUUACCCUUUUGGUGGAAAGCAUUGGCCGGUGCACACUGCACAAGAGUGGACGGUUCACACUGCAGAAUUGACAAAUUGCUCCAAAGCUUCUUCUUUUCUUCUCUCUGUUACAACAUAACUUCUCUCCCUUUCUCUUCUCAUUCUCAUUACCAGCCUCUUUUUCUUCUCUCUCUCUCUCUCCUUACUCAUGCAUAGCGCCGAAACUGAGACGGCGGUGGCAGCAUAACAAGUGGAACCGAAAGAGAUUCAGUGAGCGAUUGUGACAGGAUCUUCCCUUUGUUCACGAGUUCAGGAAAAAAUUGAUGGUGUUUGUGGUAGCGAGAGUGGAUUGCGGUGGAGUUAACGAGAGGAGAUCAAUUUUUACAGAUAAGUUUUCUAAUGUCACGUAUCAGUCGAAGAGGGUCUGAGCAGCUUGAAGUUACAAUGCAACAAAGGAAAGACAUGUGUUCAAUGAAUAGUCUCCUGCUGAUAAACUUUUGUUAUGCUGCUCGCAGUGGCAGGUCGCCUGCGACUGUUGCAUCAAUUGACAAGUCAAAAUGAUAUAGAAGGAGAAAUCACCAAUGAAGCAUUUUUACACUAACUGAGGUAAACGGACUAUAGUUAUGUUUGGGCUAAAUUAGAAGUAAAUACUUGAUUGCAAAAUGCAUAUUUUGACUUGAUUUGGUCUUUGUUUUUCAAUGUGGUUAUGUAGAUUAACAUGUGUAAUUGUUCUUGGUCGUCCUUUUAUUAGUUGGCUUCUUUCCGCCCCUUGGAAAACUAUUUGAGAAGGUAUAUGUCUAUCUUUUUGAAAAAUUCAUGAUUGCACAAAAUGAUCCUACUUUCAAGAUUACCAAGCAUAAAUAUAAACUAAACUUUAUGGGAGGAACUGUUGUUUUCAAAGUUACUUCUGCUACUGAAAUACCAAAAAGUCACUUUCAAUUUGUGCCUUUUCCAGAGAUUUUAGCAUGCUCUAAGAAGGAUCAGAUACUUGGUUAGUUACUCUUCUCUUUUGAAUUGUUUAUUUUCAUGAGUUUUUAGUUCAUUUCUCAUAUAUACUUGGAAAAUGAAAUCAUAUUUUUAGAUGUUAUUGGUCAUGUUGAGAAAGACACUGUCAAGGAUAUCGUGAAUAAAGAGAUAUUGACGAAAUCAAGUACUAAGAAUGCAUAAGGAUAUUGAUAAGAUAAUAUAUUGAUAAGAUAUUUUAUUUUAUCAUGAAAGCAAAUUGAGAUGGUCAUUAGUUAUAUAGCUCAUGAAUUUUAUUUCUAUAUGUCUGUGCUUCAACUUGCUAAGGUUAUAUGUAGUCUAUCCAAUGCUAAUUUAUUGUUUUGUGGUUUAAAUUAACGACCAAAUCUUGCCACCCUGUGUUUGAUAUUGUUUUGAAUUGGUGAGAGUUUGUGGUUAGUGAGAUUCUACUGUAACAAAUUAAAAAAAUCUGAUUUCGGUUAUGAAAGAUGUUGAAUUUGUCCAUAUCCUGACGGAAACAAACCAAGAGGUUGAUUGUCUAGCAAAGGAAGGAUCUUUGAUGAGCAGACGACGGGUGGUGUGAUUUGUGAAUUAAGCUUUGUUUGGUUUCUGCAAGGCUGUUGUUGAUCUGUUUGCAGGAGGUUUUCAGGUUAUCGCUUUCUAUCAUCUAUUUCGGAUAACCACAAAUUUUGGUAGGCGUAGAUUUGUGUGCAUUCCGGUUGUUUGUAGCCCUGGAUAUACAUGUUGGUGUUUCCUUCUUUCGUAAUGAGCAGGCCUUUAGAUUAUUUUGGAGCGUUAUUUUCUGGUUUCAAUGCAGCAAACAGUUCUACCAUGCUGCUAAUUUUCUGGUUUUGGUCCAGCAGAAAGUUCUACUUUGCUGCUAUUUUUGUUUGUUUGAGUCCUAGGGUGUCCAUGGUUGUUUUAUGGUUCAUGUAUUGGUGAGUUAGCAACCUGUUUUUGGUUUGUAUGGCAUGUCUUUGGUAGGAAAUUUUGGUGUUUUAUUUGCUCAGCUUGCCAUUGGUUAUGACUUUGUGUGGUGUAUUGUCCCCUUCGGGCACAUGAUCAUGUGAAAAAGUGGAUUGCGAAAAAUUCUGCUUUAUAAAAAAACUCAGCAGAUAGAGGGGCUGCAGAGAUACCAAAAUCCUGCAAUUGAAGUGUUGAAAAUCUUCUUCCAAUUAGUAUAUGCUUCUAUUAGCUUGCAUCCAUUAUCAUUAGUGUGGACUAUAUGUAUGGUCCACACUAAUUUACCCUGUUCAGUUUCGACCUUCUAUUUCAGGUUUCGCAGCUGAAUAUAUUACUAUUGUCAUGCUAACUGAACGUCAGACUUGAAAUUAGAAAGCAUAGGUGCGGCUGCUGCAACGCACUUUGUAUAUAUGUAUGCUUAUCAUUUAAUUAGAAAUGAUUGGAAAUAUUGGUAUAUUCUUGGCCUCGGUUUGUUGGAUAAUGCUAAACCAAAAUUCUUUGAACUGACACGAUACUGUAUCUUUAAAAUUGUUGUUAUCGAUCUUCUUUAUUCAAUUUUUUUUAUUGCUACUAGAUGAUAUAUUUUGUUGGGUGUUGUUUUGAUUAAAAGUCAAGCACAAUCUCUAGGAAUGCCCACUUUCAAAUUACUCUUUUUGAAACGUGUCUAUUAUUUUGUCUAUUUAGGGAAACAUUUGUUGCCUACCCUCAAGAACUGAAUAUGGGUGUCGACAAACGGAUGUUGUUUAGGGUUGAAGUGAGUGACGCCAACUUAUAUCGGAAUUGGCGCACCUAUGCAGUUAAAAAAAUGACUGAGGAUGAGGAGAUAACCAAGCAAUUCCUAUCGUUGCAUGGGAUAAAUCUUGCCAAUGAUGAGAGGAAGCUCAAUAUGAAGAAGUUGUGUGUCAGUUGGCUGAUUAAGCCCCACUGGAAACAAUUGAAGGUGUUACCAUAAGGAUGAUUCAACUAACAAAGGCAUUGUUAAGAGAACUGCUGCCAGUGUGGACUAAUUGGAUGUUGUAGAUCUUGGUGAAGAAGAUGCGGCCACCGCCAAAGUGCCAUUCAAGUUAUUAGUCUGGUCGGUACAAAGAUUUCUAAGGAUUUAUAGGUUUGAAGUAGGAUAAAUAUAGCCCAUUUCCUAUAGCACAUUCUCACCUGCAUAAUCUUAUAAGAAUGAAACCAAUUAUGAUUGACGCCAGUCAAAGUUAUAAUAUUUUUCAACA